CGUACUUCAAUUCAUUUGGUGCAUAUAUCACAGCUUUGAAAUAUUUCUUCUCAUUGAGCCUUGCCAUCGCAUACACGAGGAGAUGGAGGAGACGAGAGUGCUAGCUAGCCAGCUGACGUACCGUAUGACGCCGCUCGGCGAGCCCCUGCCUGCGGAACUGGAGACCUUUCACAAACAACUGAUUCUCUGCAAUCCAUCGUUCAGCCCGCUCAGUAUUUGCACGUUAAAUAGAUCGCAGAUUGCUGGAAUAAUUGCCGGUAUAACAACUUAUAUGCUUAUCAUCAUACAACAGCGACUUAUUGAUGAGUGUACGUAAUGGAUGA